rnacentral:lncRNA from 1 species
AAUCCCUUCAAGAUAGCAUCAUCAUCCAUAAAGGAUUAUUGUUAAGUCUUUACUAAUAACCCAGUUAAGAACUGAUGCAGAGACCUUUGGGAUGACAUGUGACCUCGUAUUUUCAUGAUGUUUAUUUGUAACACAGGAAAGAACACCACAAUGAGACAGACAGUGUUGUCAAAAUGAACAUAUCUAGUAUCCAGGUGUCUUUCCUUGACAAAACUUCACAAUGCCUCAAAGUGAUCUUCAAGAGUGUGGUUUCUCACAGUAAGUAAAUGAUUGAGAAUCACUGCACAGGGCACUGGUUGUCAUCGGCACAGGUUGAAGAAGGGGUGGUCUUUCCUCAAAAUUACAUGUACCGUUUCUUCAUACUGGUCUCAAACUCGAGGAGAUCUGCCUGCCUCUGCCUCCCAGGAGCUGGGUUUAAGGUAUUUAGCAGCAUUUCCAUGUAUCCACAGCCCAUUUUACUUGCUAUUAUGAAAAAAAUUCUUACUGUGUUGUCUAGGCUGGCCUUGAAUUCUCUCUGUAGCCUAACCAUGAAAACCUCUGCCAUUGCCAUUUGUAAGAGUCUUGGUUUGGUAGAUACACCCCAGAAUUAA